UAAUGCUUGGGAACAUGCCUUGAGGUGGGGGACAACAGUUGGAAACGACUGCUAAUACCGCAUAAUGUCUACGGACCAAAGGGGGCUUCGGCUCUCGCCUUUAGAUUGGCCCAAGUGGGAUUAGCUAGUUGGUGAGGUAAUGGCUCACCAAGGCAACGAUCCCUAGCUGGUUUGAGAGGAUGAUCAGCCACACUGGAACUGAGACACGGUCCAGACUCCUACGGGAGGCAGCAGUGGGGAAUAUUGCACAAUGGGCGCAAGCCUGAUGCAGCCAUGCCGCGUGUGUGAAGAAGGCCUUCGGGUUGUAAAGCACUUUCAGUCAGGAGGAAAGGUUAGUAGUUAAUACCUGCUAGCUGUGACGUUACUGACAGAAGAAGCACCGGCUAACUCCGUGCCAGCAGCCGCGGUAAUACGGAGGGUGCGAGCGUUAAUCGGAAUUACUGGGCGUAAAGCGUACGCAGGCGGUUUGUUAAGCGAGAUGUGAAAGCCCCGGGCUCAACCUGGGAACUGCAUUUCGAACUGGCAAACUAGAGUGUGAUAGAGGGUG
rnacentral:rRNA from 1 species